GUGCCAGCCGCCGCGGUAAUACGAGGGGGGCAAGCGUUAUCCGGAUUCAUUGGGCGUAAAGGGUUCGUAGGCUGACCGAUCAGUCAAAAUUGAAAGACCUUGACUUAAUCAAGGGAACGGUUUUGAUACUGUCGGUCUUGAGUGAGGUAGAGGUGAAUAGAAUUCCUGGUGUAGCGGUGAAAUGCAUAGAUAUCAGGAGGAAUACCAAAGGCGAAGGCAGUUCACUGGACCUAUACUGACGCUGAGGAACGAAAGCGUGGGGAGCAAACAGGAUUAGAGACCCUGGUAGUCCACGCCGUAAACGAUGAGCACUUGGUGGUGGGGGAAUCGACCCCUUCGCUGCCGUAGUUAACGCGUUAAGUGCUCCGCCUGGGGACUACGACCGCAAGGUUGAA
rnacentral:rRNA from 1 species